CACCUUCACAACCAGCCGACACUCCCUCUUUCACUUUUUUUUUUCUCUGCACUUCACUUGGAGAAACCCUAACUCACCAUACAAACACUCCCUGUCUCUUCCUCAGCUCCGGUGACCGAGAUUCCGGUGCCCGCACCUCCGGCUACACCACGACCACCUCCUUCAUGUACCACACCACAACCACCCUCCUCCUCCUUCCCCAUAACACCCCUCCCACACCUCAACAUCCUGGAGAACGGGGAGAAAAAGAGUUAGAUCAAGAAAGAGAGGAGAGAAAGAGUGAAGAAGAAGGAGCUGCCGACGAUGUGCCGGCGGAGCACGACGGUGGCAAACGGCGGAACCGUCGGAUGACUUUCAGAAACGCCGCGCUCGACAGCGGCGACGAUGGUGGUAUUUAAAUUUCGGCAGCCGUGAGUUCUCAGAUGAUGAUAGGGUUGAACGACUGAAGUGGUGGUUGUGAUGCGACUGUAACGGCGGCAGUGGUGGUAUUUGGUUCAGAUGUUGGUUUGGGAGUCUCGGGUCAGAUUUUAAGUUUCGGGUGUUUCACUUCAAGUUGCGGGUUCAGAUUAUGUUUUGGGUUCGAGUGUUUCAACUCAGUGCGGGUCAAACCUGGUCAUCAUGGGUCGAAAUCUGGUCAACCGGGUCAGAAUCAUGAUGCGGGUCAACUCGGGUCAGCUACUGGUCAACACAAUCUACACGGUCGACGAGUCAACUCGGUCAAACCGAGUCAACUCAGUCAACCCGAGUCAAACCAGUCAACUCAGCCGACUCGGUCAAACCGAGUCAACUGGUCAACUCAGUCAAUGAAGCGUCACGAAGAUUGGAAUGUUAUAGAUUGCACACUAGCGAGUUUACGCGUUUGGAAACGACUUUAUGGAUAUAUUAAUCUAGCUUUGCACGAGGAUAUCGAGGUUUUGCCCUUUAUAGAGAAUUUUGUUACACGUUUUGUGAUGCCUGUCGUUAAGAACAUGCAAAAACCAACUAAACUAUGUAGAUAUGAUAAGUCGGAUAUCGAACCGGAGGAGGAUUGUGGAAAGUGUCGUUAUGUCAAGUGUUGAUCAACUAUUGUAGAAAAAGUAAAUCUUGUUUGUUUGAGAGUUCAUUAACUAGCAGAUUACGAAAAUACGAAGUUGUAAGAAAUGGGAGAGAACAAUGUUUCCUCCGGAUUUCAGAUUCAAAGUAAAUUCGGUUUGUGUUGGAUUGUUUACAAUUACAUAGACAUAACUGUA